rnacentral:rRNA from 1 species
GACGAACGCUGGCGGCGUGCUUAACACAUGCAAGUCGAACGGAAAGGCCCUGCUUUUGUGGGGUGCUCGAGUGGCGAACGGGUGAGUAACACGUGUGUAACCUGCCCUUGACUUUGGGAUAACUUCAGGAAACUGGGGCUAAUACCGGAUAGGAGCUCCUGCUGCAUGGUGGGGGUUGGAAAGUUUCGGCGGUUGGGGAUGGACUCGCGGCUUAUCAGCUUGUUGGUGGGGUAGUGGCUUACCAAGGCUUUGACGGGUAGCCGGCCUGAGAGGGUGACCGGCCACAUUGGGACUGAGAUACGGCCCAGACUCCUACGGGAGGCAGAAGUGGGGAAUAUUGCACAAUGAGCGGAAGCCUGAUGCAGCAACGCCGCGUGUGGGAUGACGGCCUUCGGGUUGUAAACCGCUUUCGCCUGUGACGAAGCGUGAGUGACGGUAAUGGGUAAAGAAGCACCGGCUAACUACGUG